UGGGGAAUAUUGCACAAUGGGCGCAAGCCUGAUGCAGCCAUGCCGCGUGCAUGAAGAAGGCCUUCGGGUUGUAAAGUACUUUCAGUCGGGAGGAAGGUGUCAAGGUUAAUAACCUUGGCAAUUGACGUUACCGACAGAAGAAGCACCGGCUAACUCCGUGCCAGCAGCCGCGGUAAUACGGAGGGUGCAAGCGUUAAUCGGAAUUACUGGGCGUAAAGCGCACGCAGGCGGUUUGUUAAGUCAGAUGUGAAAUCCCCGGGCUCAACCUGGGAACUGCAUCUGAUACUGGCAAGCUUGAGUCUCGUAGAGGGGGGUAGAAUUCCAGGUGUAGCGGUGAAAUGCGUAGAGAUCUGGAGGAAUACCGGUGGCGAAGGCGGCCCCCUGGACGAAGACUGACGCUCAGGUGCGAAAGCGUGGGGAGCAAACAGG
rnacentral:rRNA from 1 species